rnacentral:lncRNA from 1 species
CUUGAAAAGCUGUCUGCUUCAAAACAUAAUAAAUGAAAAACAAUUUCUGCUUAACUAGUUCUUUCCUUUACCUCAGAAGUAAGAUAGUCAUUUUCUAGUUUUCUAUACUCUACAAAUACUUAGGUAUGCUGCAAAUCCACUUGAUAUCAAUUAAUCCCCUGGAACUAUGGACUCUAUCAGCAUUCAGGAAUAAAAAGAAUCCAUCCCCUUUUAUUUCAAACCUGAAAGGAAAUAAUCUAAGUCAGUUUGGGAGCUAUAUACAUCUAUAAUCAAAAAGAAAAUUAAGAACACAGUGAUUUGAAACAUAUUUAAAAACACCAAGUUCCCAGAAAAUAUAUUACCUGAUAUCAUAUGUUUUCACAAAAAUUGGUUCAAUAAAAGAAAAUAAGACUGAAUUUGGUAUUUUUUUGAGUUAUAAUCUGUACUUCUAUUCAGAAC